GAUGAAGAACGCAGCGAAAUGCGAUAAGUAGUGUGAAUUGCAGAAUUCAGUGAAUCAUCGAAUCUUUGAACGCACAUUGCGCCCCUUGGUAUUCCAUGGGGCAUGCCUGUUCGAGCGUCAUUUGUACCUUCAAGCUUUGCUUGGUGUUGGGUGUUUGUCCUGAGGGACUCGCCUUAAAGUAAUUGGCAGCCAGUGUUUGGUUUUGAAGCGCAGCACAAGUCGCGAUUCAAAGCUAUACGCCCGCUUCCACAAGCCUUUUUCACUUUUGACCUCGGAUCAGGUAGGGAUACCCGCUGAACUUAAGCAUAUCAUUAAGCGGAGGA
rnacentral:misc_RNA from 1 species